UUACGGCCAUAUCAAGUUGAAAUACCAGUUCCCGUGAGAUCACCGAAGUUGAGCCACGUCUAGUCUGAUCAUUACCUAGUUGGGUGAACGCUUGGGAAUACCACGUGCUGAAAG